AUCUUCACCAUAUCUUGCUUUCUGAUUCCUUCUCCCAUUUCUGUCUAUCGAGAGUGAGCAAAUCCAAAAAUCCGAAUUCCGGAAAUCAGAACCAAAAUGGAGUCUUUUGAAUCCAACUGGAUCAACGAAGAUCACCAAAUCAACAACACUCACGCCGCCAGUAACACAGAUCACGGCUGGCAAAAGGUCACCUACACCAAGCGCAACCGGAAGCAGAAGCCAGCGGACUCUGCCUCCGCUGCGAAUGCUGGUAAAGUCAAUGGAACCGCCAUCCCCAACGAAAAGUCUAACGUCUUCCGCUCCUUGGAGCAGCAAUCUGAAGAGCGCCGCCGCCGAAUCAUUGAGUCUCAGAGAGAUGCAAUUGCCGCCGUUGAGGCUCCGGUGAGAUCGAAGCAUCGAUCUGACGAUGAGGACGAAAAUGAGGAUGAUAGCGACGAUGCUGCGCCUUCCAAAGGAAAUGAGAAGAUGGAAGAGAAGAAGGUGAAGCAGAAGAAGCCAAAGAAACCGAAGGUGACUGUGGCAGAAGCUGCCGCGAAGAUUGACUCGGCUGAUCUCGCUGCUUUUCUUGCUGAUAUAUCGGCAUCGUAUGAGGGUCAGCAGGAGAUACAGCUAAUGAGGUUUGCGGAUUAUUUUGGAAGAGCGUUUUCUUCCGUGAGUUCAGCUCAGUUUCCAUGGGUGAAGUUUCUCAGGGAGAAUACGGUGGCGAAAAUGACCGAUAUUCCCCUCUCUCACAUUUCUGACGCUGUUUAUAAAACAUCAGUAGACUUUAUUAACCAGCGCUCCAUUGAGGCACUUGGUUCCUUUGUGUUGUGGUCUUUGGAUAGCAUCCUUGCAGAUUUGGCAAGCCAGCAAGUUGGAUCAAAGUCUGCUAAAAAGGGUGUGCAACAUGUAUCGUCAAAAUCCCAGGUUGCUAUCUUUGUGGUCCUAGCAAUGGUGCUGCGAAGAAAGCCUGAUGCUUUAGUUAAUGUAUUGCCAAUGUUGAGGGAAAGUUCAAAGUAUCAAGGACAAGACAAACUUCCUGUUGUUGCAUGGAUGAUAGCCCAGGUCUCUCAAGGAGAUUUGGCUGUAGGGUUGUACUCAUGGGCACAUAACCUCUUGCCUAUAGUGAGCGGCAAAAGUUCUAAUCCACAGUCCAGGGAUAUAAUUUUGCAGCUAGUAGAAAAAAUUUUGUCUUCCCCAAAGGCUUGUACAAUUUUAGUGAGUGGUGCUGUUAGAAAGGGGGAGCGCUUGGUGCCACCUUUUGCAUAUGAGAUACUAUUGCGAGUAACAUUCCCUGCAUCAUCAGCUAGAGUAAAGGCUACUGAGAGGUUUGAGGCAGUAUAUCCUAUCUUAAGAGAGGUGGCUUUGGCUGGCUCCACUGGAAGCAAAGCAAUGAAACAAGUAUCAUUGCAGAUACUAAGUUUCGCUAUUAAAGCAGCUGGAGAAAGCAAUCCCGAGUUAUCCAAGGAAGCAGCUGGCAUUUGUAUCUGGUGUUUGACCCAGAAUGCUGAAUGCUACAAGCAUUGGGAUAAGGUUUACGAGGAGAAUCCAGAAGCUAGCAUUGCCAUUCUUAAAAAACUUUCUGAGGAGUGGAAAGAGGUCUCUGUGAAACUGGCUCCUCUUGACCCUCUGAGGGAAACUCUGAAAAAUUUUAGGCAGAAGGUAAUCACUUGUUCUUUUUAGCAACUUUCAUAUUAUUUGAUGACCGUAAUUAAGUUCCUAUGUAAAGGCAGUUGACUCACCAUCACAGUUGCGAGCUAUAACAGAAUGGUUGUCUGUAAAGUUCAGUUACAUUAAUGUAGGUGUAAUAAAUUUUCUAAUUCUCAGUUUAUUUUUGCCUAUAGAAUGAGAAAGCUUUGGCAAAGGGAGAAGAUUCUGCUCACCAAGCAUUCUUCAGGGAUGCUGACAAGUACUGCAAGUUGAUAUUGGGAAAGUUAUCCCAUGGCCAUUGUUGCGCAAAAAGUUUGGCUUUUGCUGUCAUUGCUCUGGCUGUUGGUGCUGUCUUCCUUUCGCCAAAUAUGGAGUUCUUGGAUUGGGAGAAACUGGUUGUAGUUGUCAACUCCCAAUUCUCUCGAUUCUCUUCCUGAGUGGGAUGUCAUACUGAUAUCGACGACCAUUGGUGCAAAGCAUCAAGUUGUUUUUAGGAUACUAGUUUUCUUCAAUUUUGUACUUCUGAUUCUGAUUAAGAGAAAAAGGAAAAAUUUUCAGCAUGAUAUUUAUAGUCUCAUUUGGUGAUUCACAUACAGUAUGAGGAACAUAGGCUGUUAUAUUCUUGAAAAAAAAUAUGCAGUGCCCUGGAAAAAAUAAAGAUGAGGAAAACCAUCUGAUGGGGGUGUUGUUAUUUUAGCAAGAAUGUCAAAAAAUAGUUUGAUUUGAGCUUUUUGUGGGUAUCAAAGACUAGGCAUCUAUUUAAAUAGACAAGUAGCCGCUAUCUGUUU
rnacentral:misc_RNA from 1 species